rnacentral:rRNA from 1 species
ACGGGAGGCAGCAGUGGGGAAUAUUGCACAAUGGGGGAAACCCUGAUGCAGCGACGCCGCGUGAGUGAAGAAGUAUUUCGGUAUGUAAAGCUCUAUCAGCAGGGAAGAAAAUGACGGUACCUGACUAAGAAGCUCCGGCUAAAUACGUGCCAGCAGCCGCGGUAAUACGUAUGGAGCAAGCGUUAUCCGGAUUUACUGGGUGUAAAGGGAGCGUAGACGGCAAGGCAAGUCUGAAGUGAAAGCCUGGGGCUCAACCCCGGAACUGCUUUGGAAACUGUCUGGCUAGAGUGCAGGAGAGGUAAGUGGAAUUCCUAGUGCAGCGGUGAAAUGCGUAGAUAUUAGGAGGAACACCAGUGGCGAAGGCGGCUUACUGGACUGUAACUGACGUCGAGGCUCGAAAGCGUGGGGAGCGAACAGGAUUAGAUACCCUGGUA